AUGAAACAGCCCUGUUUUUUGUUCGACAAAAAAUGUAGCAUUCUGAGUUUCGCAGUUGAGUACUCAGAUCAGCGGAAAAUAUACCAGAAAACAACGUUUGCUAGCAAACUGUGCAAUAUAUUUUGUUAGCAGGAGAGCGUGAUCACUCCGUACGAUUACACUGCUCAGGAGCCUUUUUGUUGAGUGAAAAGUGAAUAAAAGGUUAAUAAAACAGUGGAAGCGAAAUGGAUCCAUGCAGGAGAUUGCCUUCAGUGUGAUUGGCGGCUCUUACAUUAGCGGAGGAGAAGGAUAAUCAACGAAAUUGGCGCCGACAACAUUGAGUACACCCAUAUCUGCAGGAAAGAAACCAGGAGGGUCAUUUGUCUAAACAUGUGACUACUAUAAACAAUAUAAAUAUGUGUAUAUGUAUUUAAACGCAUCUAACAAUAUUCUUUGCACAUUCCGCAGUUUAAAAGUAUGACUCAAAGGACAUCAGUAUUCUUUGAGAAUUUGCACAUAUCUGAGAAGAACAUCUGCAGCCCUUUUGGAUUGGUGGAGCAGCAAGGCCGUGCCAAGGAAUAUUUACGCC
rnacentral:lncRNA from 1 species